GUGUCAGCAGCCGCGGUAAUACGUAGGCAGCGAGCGUUGUUCGGAGUUACUGGGCGUAAAGGGUGUGUAGGCGGUUCGCCAAGUUCGGUGUGAAAUCUCCCGGCUUAACUGGGAGGGUGCGCCGGAUACUGGCGGGCUAGAGUGCGGGAUGGGAGAGCGGAAUUCCUGGUGUAGCGGUGAAAUGCGUAGAGAUCAGGAGGAACACCUGCGGUGUAGACGGCUCUCUGGACCGCCACUGACGCUGAGACACGAAAGCGUGGGUAGCAAACAGGAUUAGAUACCCUGGUAGUCCACGCCCUAAACGAUGCAUACUUGGUGUGGGCAGUUCAUUCUGUCCGUGCCGAAGCUAACGCGUUAAGUAUGCCGCCUGGGGAGUACGGUCGCAAGGCUGAAACUUAAAGGAAUUGACGGGG
rnacentral:rRNA from 1 species